AACGCACAUUGCGCCCGCCAGCACUCUGGCGGGCAUGCCUGUUCGAGCGUCAUCUCAACCCCUCGGACCUCCUGGGCCUCGCGCCCCGGGGGACCGGCGUUGGGGACCGGGCGAGCCCCCCCCGGGGCCGCCCGCCCCCUAAAUGCAUCGGCGGUCGCGCCGCGAUCCCCUGCGUAGUAGCACACCUCGCAGGCCGGAGCAGCAGCGCGCCCACGCCGUAAAACGUGCCUCGGCACCACCAAUUUGACCUCGGAUCAGGUAGGAAUACCCGCUGAACUUAA
rnacentral:misc_RNA from 1 species